GACGAACGCUGGCGGCGUGCCUAAUACAUGCAAGUAGAACGCUGAAGAGAGGAGCUUGCUCUUCUUGGAUGAGUUGCGAACGGGUGAGUAACGCGUAGGUAACCUGCCUUGUAGCGGGGGAUAACUAUUGGAAACGAUAGCUAAUACCGCAUAACAAUGGAUGACACAUGUCAUUUAUUUGAAAGGGGCAAUUGCUCCACUACAAGAUGGACCUGCGUUGUAUUAGCUAGUAGGUGAGGUAACGGCUCACCUAGGCGACGAUACAUAGCCGACCUGAGAGGGUGAUCGGCCACACUGGGACUGAGACACGGCCCAGACUCCUACGGGAGGCAGCAGUAGGGAAUCUUCGGCAAUGGGGGCAACCCUGACCGAGCAACGCCGCGUGAGUGAAGAAGGUUUUCGGAUCGUAAAGCUCUGUUGUAAGUCAAGAACGAGUGUGAGAGUGGAAAGUUCACACUGUGACGGUAGCUUACCAGAAAGGGACGGCUAACUACGUGCCAGCAGCCGCGGUAAUACGUAGGUCCCGAGCGUUGUCCGGAUUUAUUGGGCGUAAAGCGAGCGCAGGCGGUUUGAUAAGUCUGAAGUUAAAGGCUGUGGCUCAACCAUAGUUCGCUUUGGAAACUGUCAAACUUGAGUGCAGAAGGGGAGAGUGGAAUUCCAUGUGUAGCGGUGAAAUGCGUAGAUAUAUGGAGGAACACCGGUGGCGAAAGCGGCUCUCUGGUCUGUAACUGACGCUGAGGCUCGAAAGCGUGGGGAGCGAACAGGAUUAGAUACCCUGGUAGUCCACGCCGUAAACGAUGAGUGCUAGGUGUUGGAUCCUUUCCGGGAUUCAGUGCCGCAGCUAACGCAUUAAGCACUCCGCCUGGGGAGUACGACCGCAAGGUUGAAACUCAAAGGAAUUGACGGGGGCCCGCACAAGUGGUGGAGCAUGUGGUUUAAUUCGAAGCAACGCGAAGAACCUUACCAGGUCUUGACAUCCCGAUGCUAUUUCUAGAGAUAGAAAGUUACUUCGGUACAUCGGUGACAGGUGGUGCAUGGUUGUCGUCAGCUCGUGUCGUGAGAUGUUGGGUUAAGUCCCGCAACGAGCGCAACCCCUAUUGUUAGUUGCCAUCAUUCAGUUGGGCACUCUAGCGAGACUGCCGGUAAUAAACCGGAGGAAGGUGGGGAUGACGUCAAAUCAUCAUGCCCCUUAUGACCUGGGCUACACACGUGCUACAAUGGUUGGUACAACGAGUUGCGAGUCGGUGACGGCAAGCUAAUCUCUUAAAGCCAAUCUCAGUUCGGAUUGUAGGCUGCAACUCGCCUACAUGAAGUCGGAAUCGCUAGUAAUCGCGGAUCAGCACGCCGCGGUGAAUACGUUCCCGGGCCU
rnacentral:rRNA from 1 species